rnacentral:rRNA from 1 species
UACGUAGGGUGCGAGCGUUGUCCGGAAUUAUUGGGCGUAAAGGGCUCGUAGGCGGUCUGUUGCGUCGGGUGUGAAAACUCAGGGCUUAACCCUGAGCCUGCUUCCGAUACGGGCAGACUAGAGGUAUGCAGGGGAGAACGGAAUUCCUGGUGUAGCGGUGAAAUGCGCAGAUAUCAGGAGGAACACCGGUGGCGAAGGCGGGUCUCUGGGCAGUAACUGACGCUGAGGAGCGAAAGCGUGGGGAGCGAACAGG